AGUGAACGCUGGCGGUAGGCCUAACACAUGCAAGUCGAACGGCAGCACAGUAAGAGCUUGCUCUUACGGGUGGCGAGUGGCGGACGGGUGAGGAAUACAUCGGAAUCUACUUUUUCGUGGGGGAUAACGUAGGGAAACUUACGCUAAUACCGCAUACGACCUACGGGUGAAAGCAGGGGAUCUUCGGACCCUGCGCGAUUGAAUGAGCCGAUGUCGGAUUAGCUAGUUGGCGGGGUAAAGGCCCACCAAGGCGACGAUCCGUAGCUGGUCUGAGAGGAUGAUCAGGCACAAUGGAACUGAGACACGGGUCAGACUCCUACGGGAGGCAGCAGUGGGGAAUAUUGGACAAUGGGCGCAAGCCUGAUCCAGCCAUACCGCGUGGGUGAAGAAGGCCUUCGGGUUGUAAAGCCCUUUUGUUGGGAAAGAAAAGCAGCAGGUUAAUACCCCGCUGUUCUGACGGUACCCAAAGAAUAAGCACCGGCUAACUUCGUG
rnacentral:rRNA from 1 species